GCUGGAGGGUGCUUUCCUGGCCGUUCCAAGCUUUUCAGCACCUUCAGCACUGCCAUUAGAAACUGAUCAUCUCAACACUGAGUUCUGAUGAGUGGCUGAUAAUCUUCAAAAUGGAUGGAUGUGCUGAUAUUCAAAUACCAAAAAUUUAUUGAGAGGAGCAGCCAGCUGAGACACAUAUACAAAAACAGACAUGAGAAAAUGUUGUCAAGAAUUGCAACAAGACACAGUCAAUUAAAAGAGCUAGCAGACAAAGGGAGUUUGAUAUGGAGAACAAUGGGGAAUGACAGCACUAGGAAGAGGUGACUCAAAAGAAAGAACUGGCAAAAGAAACAACAGUGGAGCUGCAAAUGAGUGUCAAUAUUCCCUAACACUGAAUGGCUGAUACUGUGAUUCGAAGGAAGAAAACUUGAGACAGCUUGGACUCACAAGAUUCCCUAUAGAUUUUUAAAGCUGCAGAUUGUGGUCUGUAAAAUUCACUAGUCCUCAUCAUUUCAGAGGCAGUACAGCUCCUUCUAAUACCCUUAGAAAGUGUGCCACACGUAUUUUAAUUUUCAGUAAUCAUAACUAUGCAGUGCAAACUCUGUUACCAGUUUUGGCUAUACCCACAACUGCUGGUGCAAGUCAUCGCAGUUUGUGAAGGGAAGCAAUUCUAUAAAUCUCAUUUCCAUGCACAAUAUACUUAGCAUUAAUUUCCUUACUGUGCCUUUGGAUUAUCAUUUAAUUUGUAUCUUUUAAUAUAUAUUUUAUUUAAAAAUAUGGAGAGGAUAAAUAAAUAUACAAGAAAAGGAUACCCCGCCAGUUGGACCACCCAAGUCAUCAGCAUCUUUAGUCCGAGACAUAUACAGUAAAACUGCACUAGUAAAGUCAUUCUCAUACGAACUGAAUGAACAGAAGGGUCAAACAGUAUUUGCAUUUUGAAUUAAUGAGUUUUAAAUCUGACCUUGAUCUUUUGGUUCCUUUGGGAGGAUUUGAAUUUUUAAUGAAAAAAAAAAACCUUACAAUGCCAUGGAAAAAAAAGUCUCAAACAUAUUGUCUAAUGAUAUCUGACUAUUAACCAUCCUUUUAUGAUUAAUUUAUUAAAUAGCUUUGUUCCUUUUGCUGUACAUUCAUCUGUUUUAAGAAGAAUAUUCUCUGAAGGCAAAUUUUACACUGCACAGAGGACAGAAACUGGAAGCAGAAAGGGCACUUAAAAUGAUAAGAAAUUUCCAACAGGAGCUCAGUUCCCAAAGUAGCAAUGAAAUGUACUGUAUAAAAUGUAUCAUAUGAAAAAACAUAGGAUAUUAUCAAAAUAAAGGUAAAUGCACGUGUCCUUCCAACUCUAGAUAUUUACUUAUCCUACUGAAUACUGUACAGAUCUAUCCCUACAUAUAAAUAGACAUAGACACACAUAAUAUAAAAUAUGAAGUCAUAAUAAAAAGAAGUAAUGUGAUAUUUGGU